rnacentral:rRNA from 1 species
GCGGUCGCUCUACCGAUUGAUGGCUUAGUGAGGCCUUCGGAUUGAAAUUCGGAGACUGGCAACAGACUCUUGGUUUUGAAAAGUUGGACAAACUUGGUCAUUUAGAGGAAGUAAAAGUCGUAACAAGGUUUCCGUAGGUGAACCUGCGGAAGGAUCAUUACCGAUUUUUAGCGGACCUGAUCUUUGAUCAUGGUCUCGCGAAAACUUGUAUUUAAAACCCCACUCUUAUAAAUUGAAUCAUUUUAUAUUAUGUUUGUAAAAAAUAAAGAUUUUUUUCAACAACGGAUCUGUUGCUUCUCGCAUCGAUGAACAACGUAGCGAACUGCAAUAAGUGAGGUGAAUUGAAUAAUUCCGUGAAUCAUCGAAUCUUUGACCGCUAGUUGCCCUCUCUGGUAACCCGGGGAGUAUGCCUGUUUGAGGGUCAGUGUUAAUAAAAAUCGGCGCGUUGCACUUUUUGUGAUGUUCCGGAGUUUGAGUUAUCUUAUCUUCUGGGUUUAAGAGGCAUAAAAUUGACCUUCUUUGUGCUUUGUAUACGUACAUAAAAUUUUUUUUAUUCGUUUAUCUUAAUGCCAAAAUCUAUUAGAUGCGACCAUAUCGUGUGGUUCCGUGUCUAUAAAUUUUUCAUGAUUUGACCUCAAAUCAGGUAGGAACACCCGCUGAACUUAAGCAUAUCAAUAAGCGGAGGAAAAGAAAAUAACAAUGAUUCCCCUAGUAACUGCGAGUGAAGAGGGACAAGCUCAAAUUUUAAAUCCAUCGGGUUUUACCUGAUCGAGUUGUAAUUUGAAGAAGCGUUUUCUGCGUAUUUGAUCAGCCCAAGUCCUAUUGAAUGAGGCAUCAUGGAGGGUGAUAAUCCCGUCCGGUUGAUCAUUUGCGUUUUACGAUACGCUUUCUAAGAGUCAAGUUGUUUGGGAUUGCAGCUUAAAAUGGGAGGUAAAUUUCUCCUAAGGCUAAAUAACGGCGAGAGACCGAUAGCGAACAAGUACCGUGAGGGAAAGAUGAAAAGAACUUGAAAAGAGAGUAAACAG